ensembl:lncRNA
UGAAACAUAUGAAGCCUUUUAUUGAAAACGGUAUCACUGUCACCAACCAGCAGUGUCUGAAGUGCAAAGAAAAGGAACAACCUAUCUUGGAGACGAGAUCUAUUCAAAACAUUCGAGAUUUUGUGCGCAACAGAGGACUGGCCUUUAAAAAAAAUAAAUAAAUGUUAAACACUAAAUGCACUUUUUGACAGUCUGAGCCUUUACCUUUCUGGGCCUGAUUUCAAGGUUAGUGUUCUCCAUUCAAAAAGUAUGUAGUUGACUUCACUGUGCUCACAGGCAGUGUUUUGUUUUGAUGUGUGGUUAGCCUGAGUCUUUUAAUGCCAGGAUUCACUUUUAUUUUCCUUCAAUAAUUGUUACAAUGCUGUCCUUUUAAUGAAUUGAUUAUUGAGUUGGUUAUAUUAAAUAUAGUUCAGUAAUUCAACAAAUGUGUUGUGUGUUGAUAUAAGUCUUAUGUAUAAGUCAUGGUGUCAGCCCGACUCACCCCUGGUGUGCAAAGGUGCUGUUUUAUUGGUCAGCCACUCAGUGCCAGUUUCUUCAGGACAAUGAAAAACUCUAUAAUACAUAGUUUGUUCUAGUUGAUGCAAGCACUGUUGUGUUAUGCUUCUAGUUGUUUUAAUGACACUUUGACCACCUGUUAGUAGAUCACAACAGAUAUGAUCUGUGGUGUUUUAUGUAAGCUUGUAUGUCAGAUUGUAAUGCUCAUCAGAGAAAACCAAAAUAUAGUCUUUUUAUUAUUUUUUAAUUUAUUCAUCCAUCCAUCCAUCUUCAACCGCUUAUCCGAGGCCGGGUCGCGGGGGCAGCAGCCUAAGCAAAUUUAUUCAAUUUUACUAUAAUGAUGUAUCAGUCACAGUCUUAUAAUACACCUUCUUUUCUAAGAAGGUUAUACUUAGUGCAUGUGUGAGUAUAUGUACAGUGAACUGGCUUUACACACCAUGUGUCCUUUUAAACCAGAUUUACUCAGUGUGUGUGUGUGUGUGUGUACAGUAGACUGGCUUUACACACCAUGUGUCCUUUUAAACCAGAUUUACUCAGUGUGUGUGUGUGUGUGUGUGUGUACAGUAGACUGGCUUUAUACACCAUGUGUCCCUUCAGAACAGACUAUACUUUGUGUAUAUGUAUGAUGACAUCACUGACCUUGUACACCAGACUGUCCUUAUAGACCGAGCUACAGAAAAGUCUCUACAAACCACCAGAAUGUCUGAAAAAAUAGCCUUUUUUAUAUCUCAGUCGAGCAAAGAAAAUGUUUAAAUUUUAAGUUGUGUAUAGGUUUGCUGAUUUUUUUCAUGAUUUUUGAUAUGCAUAUUGUAGCUCUAGCACCUCUGGAACCCGGUGUCCCCAUAGCCCUAUGUCCACUCUAAUUUGCCAAAAAUUUCAGAAAUUGUCCCUCUAACCCAAGAAACGGGUAUGUGUGUGUGUGUGUGUGUGUGUGUGUGUGUGUGUGUGUGUGACCCCAUAAACGACUUCCCUAAACCUGCUGGUCUGGAAGUCCAGCAGUUCAUCUAAACAAAAGGCACUUAGACUAAAACAGAUAUACGUGUGUUUGCUAUACCAUAUAUCAGAAGAGAAGAUACAACCUUGCUCAUGAUCCCAAGACGUGUGUGAACUAUGCCAGAACACUCUGAGGAGGAGUGAACACCCUCCCCUCUUCAUGCUACACAGAGUUGUUACAGACCUCCUAGGAUGAGACAUUCUUUCAAUCUAUAAAUGAUUAUAUACUUCUAAACAUAUAUGAGUAGAUAUUUCUAAGCAUAAAUGACAACCAACAAUACAACUCUAACAAUGACAGCACUCCUGUAUGUGAACACCACAGCCCAGCGUUUACAGACUUUUAAAAGCUUUGUAAGAAAAACUAUUUAAACAUGAAGGAAGUAUAAAAACUAACAUUGU